rnacentral:rRNA from 1 species
CCCUUAGAUGUUCUGGGCCGCACGCGCGCUACACUGAUUCAUGCAACGAGUUUUGUCCUUGGCUGAAAGGCCUGGGUAAUCUUUGAACGUGAAUCGUGCUGGGGAUAGAUGAUUGCAAUUAUUCAUCUUCAACGAGGAAUUCCUAGUAAACGCAAGUCAUCAGCUUGCAUUGAUUACGUCCCUGCCCUUUGUACACACCGCCCGUCGCACCUACCGAUUGAAUGGUCCGGUGAAGCCUCCGGAUUGGCGCGCACCUCGGUGCCGCCGAGAAGUUGGCUAAACCUUACCAUUUAGAGGAAGGUGAAGUCGUAACA